rnacentral:ncRNA from 1 species
UAUAUUUGCACUUUCAAUAGAAAAUCUGUUGAAAUACAUAAAAAUCAUUUAAAUAAUAUUGGCAUG